UACGUAGGGUGCAGGCGUUAAUCGGAAUUACUGGGCGUAAAGCGUGCGCAGGCGGUCUGCUAAGAGAGGUGUGAAAUCCCCGGGCUUAACCUGGGAACUGCGCUUCUAACUGGCAGGCUUGAGUGUGGCAGAGGGGGGUGGAAUUCCACGUGUAGCAGUGAAAUGCGUAGAGAUCCGGAAGAACACCGGUGGCGAAGGCGACCUGCUGGGCAGUAGCUGACACUGAGGCGCGACAGCGUGGGGAGCAAACAGG
rnacentral:rRNA from 1 species